CAUUAGGGAGACAAUCAUACAAGCAGGAAAACCACGACAGACUGUUUAAGUUUACUAAUCCUGACAUUUUUCUACUCAUGUACAUGUCUCAGGCUCAUCCAGACUCAGAGAACCAAUCAGAGCUCUGCUAUCGUCCAAACGGUAAACCAAGAUGAAAAUGAGCAGCAAGUAUACUCCUCUCUUCUCCAUGGUCAUGUUUGUGACUAUGAAAAAAUCAGUGGCUUUGGAAAGAAUAUGCGUGGUGACAGACUUGCAGACAUGAAUUCAGAAUACAGCCAUGUCGUAUCUGAGUUUCAGCUCAAAGGUCUUGGAAAGAGGAGAAUACGAAAUCAUCCCACAAGGAGCCUUGACUAUUGUAAUGUGAUUCCACACACACCUGCAGGUCCAUAAAGAGAAGUGCAUCAUCAUCGGAUUAUAUGAAAUAAUUACAAUUCUGUUAUGUUAGAUUUAAUUUUCCUGUUGAUUUCUGCUGAAUUUGCUUUUGUAUUUAUACUUAUUAUACAUAUUUUAUUGCAAUUAAGUAGUAAUUCUAUAGGUUAGAUGGCAGAGGACUAUAUACAGACGUGGACAAAAUUGUUGGUACCCUUCCUUUAAAGAAAGAAAAACCCACAAUGGUGCCUGAAAUAAGUUGAAAUUGACAAAAUGUAUUAAUAGAUAAAAUAAUAACUGAAAAUUAACUGAUGAAAUUUGAACUGAGGGUUCAACAGGAUUAUUUUAAAAAACAAACUAAUGAAACAAGCCUGGACAAAAAUGAUGGUAACCUGAACUUAAUAUUUUGUGCACUGCAAUCAACUCUUAAUGAGGCUUCAGCACUUGUCAACAGGUAUUUUGGCCCACUCCUCAUUAGCAAACUGCUCCAGCUGUUUCAGGUACGAAAGGUACCUUCUCCAAACUGCAUGUUUCAGCUCCUUCCACAGAUGUUCAGUAGGAUUUAGAUCAGGGCUCAUAGAGGGCCACUUCAUAAUAGUCCAAUGU